rnacentral:rRNA from 1 species
AGUUUGAUCAUGGCUCAGAACGAACGCUGGCGGCAUGCCUAACACAUGCAAGUCGAACGAAGCCUUCGGGCUUAGUGGCGCACGGGUGCGUAACACGUGGGAAUCUGCCCUUCGGUUCGGAAUAACAGUUAGAAAUGACUGCUAAUACCGGAUGAUGACGUAAGUCCAAAGAUUUAUCGCCGAAGGAUGAGCCCGCGUAGGAUUAGGUAGUUGGUAGGGUAAUGGCCUACCAAGCCGACGAUCCUUAGCUGGUCUGAGAGGAUGAUCAGCCACACUGGGACUGAGACACGGCCCAGACUCCUACGGGAGGCAGCAGUGGGGAAUAUUGGACAAUGGGCGAAAGCCUGAUCCAGCAAUGCCGCGUGAGUGAUGAAGGCCUUAGGGUUAUAAAGCUCUUUUACCAGGGACGAUAAUGACAGUACCUGGAGAAUAAGCUCCGGCUAACUCCGUG